AUUUAUGAAAGAUUAACUUCUGCGAAAGCAUCUGCCAAGGAUGUUUUCAUUAAUCAAGAACGAAAGUUAGGGGAUCGAAGACGAUCAGAUACCGUCGUAGUCUUAACCAUAAACGAUGCCGACCAGCGAUUAGGAGACGUUGAAUACAAAACACCACCAUCGGUGCGGUCGUCCUUGGCGUCGGUCUUUCGGGGCCGGCGCGGGGACGGCUUAGCCCGGUGGCACCGGUGAAUGACUCCCCUAGCAGCUUGUGAGAA
rnacentral:rRNA from 1 species